GAGGGACCUAGAUCAGACGG
rnacentral:miRNA from 1 species